rnacentral:rRNA from 1 species
AUUGAACGCUGGCGGCAUGCUUUACACAUGCCAGUCGAACGGUAACAGGCCUUCGGGUGCUGACGAGUGGCGAACGGGUGAGUAAUGCAUCGGAACGUGCCCAGAGGUGGGGGAUAACGCAGCGAAAGCUGUGCUAAUACCGCAUGUGAUCUGAGGAUGAAAGCGGGGGACCAGGCAGCAAUGUUUGGCCUCGCGCCUUUGGAGCGGCCGAUGUCAGAUUAGGUAGUUGGUGGGGUAAAGGCCUACCAAGCCGACGAUCUGUAGCUGGUCUGAGAGGACGACACGCCCACUGGGGACUGAGCCCCGGCCCAGAUCCCUAGGGGAGGCAGCGGGGGGGAUUUUUGGACAUGGGCGCAAGCCUGAUCCAGCAAUGCCGCGUGCGGGAAGAAGGCCUUCGGGUUGUAAACCGCUUUUGUACGGAACGAAAAGGCUCUGGCUAAUACCUGGGGCUGAUGACGGUACCGUAAGAAUAAGCACCGGCUAACUACGUG